rnacentral:tRNA from 1 species
CUUUAGUUAACUUAAUUUAAAGUUUUAGACUCUUAAUCUAAUUAUAGUAGUUAAAAUCUACUACUAAGGU